AAAAGGAAGGUAUGAUGCUCAUUUAUACCAACUCCAGCAGAGUGUUGAGCAAUGAGAAGAAAGCAUGUGGAAGAAAGAAACGGAAAAAUCUGAGCAAGCCAAAUCUCAAAGAAUUUCCAUAGUUCCUUACACCACUGGCUGUGCAGAAGGUGUGGAUGGUUGGGAACAGAAAGGAGCGAUCACAAAGAUCAAAGGCGAACUGCGAGGUGUGGAAUGCGGUUGUCGUGAAGGGACCAGCAGAUGGGUUUUUGCGAUGAGGAGAAGGCUGGCAUCUCUGGUGGCGGAGGAGGUUCACCGACUGGCUAGGACAAUUUGUAGACGAAGCAUCCUGGUUUACUUGUACAGGGUACGGAACUGUGGUGUUAGUGGUGAGAUGCAGAGGUGGGGCAGUGGUUGGCCACUGGUGGCAGAUCAACUUGGAGGAAGAAAGAGACUUUUGGAGCGCAUCCAGCGAACCAGUACCUCGCUCAGCCAUAAAGCCCAUUUGGGAUUUUAUAACUGCUGGACUCCUGUGCCACCGAACUCCACAGCGGUAAUGAAUCCAGACAUUAAAUGAAAAGAAACCCACUUGUCUUCCCUCUGGUGCAUCCCAGGGCUCUGCGAAAGGGGAAUCCGAGGCGCGGAGAAGCGCAGGACGGAAACCCCCUCGCCUCCCUCCUCAGCGUAACGGUCGCGGGGACGCGAGAGACGGGCGGGUAGGCGCGGUGUCACGUGACCCGCCCCCCGCGAGCGCGGAGCUGCAGACCCCCGUUCGAAGGGGGGCGGACCGAGGAAGGGGCGAACAGUCCCCCCCGGUGGGCGACCGGAGCCCCGCGGUCACGUGACCGUGGAAUGAUGUCACGCCCCCCGCCC
rnacentral:lncRNA from 1 species